UAUAGGCUUUGAUUAAUUAAUUAUAGAAGUUUAAAUGAAAAAAUGCACCCAUGAUGACACACUUUUCCAAGAAAAAUGUUUUUAAGAAACAUGUGGUCCGCAGUAGAAAAUUUUGUGCAAGGAAUAUUUUUAUGAUAUGCAAUAAAAUGUUUGUUUGCACGGGUCCCUUUUUUUCUCGUGCGUCCUCACUCUAAUACCGUCCAGAGCUCGGUCUAUGUUAUUUAGAAUUUCUCACUCAUCUUUUAGUUUUCUUGAGAUCGUUGGAGUGGUAAGAGUGAGAGGAAGACCAUAGUUUUAUAAAUUAUGUGAUCUAAAAUUAAUUACAAAAAAUUAAGUGAUACUAUGCAACUGUAGACAAAUAGGUAAGUAUCUCCCUUUCUUUUUUUUACGUGGCCUUAUUCAUGAAGUUUCUCCAUUCGUGUCUAUUUUUAUCUACCUCAUUCCAGAAGCGCCCCAUUUUUUUUUAAACUUCAUCGAAUAGUACCUUGCAUCUCUAUUGAAGAGGACUUCUCACUUUCGUCCCUUCCGAUUCAGAAAUUAGCAGAUUCUUGGGCAUUCAGUCGACAUCCAAAUGAACGUGACCAAGCCAGCGAAGUCUCAUUGAUACCGAGAUGUCCGGUUCUCCGUAAAGGCACUUCAAGUCUUUGAUUUGUCCUCAAACGGAACUCAUCAGUUAGUGCAUCGUUCACGGAGCCGUAAAGCCAAAAAACGAGGGAAAUCAUCUAAAUGGAUGGAACCCGUAGCAAUAAAAAAACUAGGAAAAAAUUAAAUUCUAUUGAAAUUAAAUGACUAGCACGCCAAAAAUCAAGCGAGAAAUGUAAAGUUCAUUGCUUAUGCUGGAUGUCUUUAAGGAGGAAGUGACAUAGUUCGAGUUAUCCCAGAAGACAGAAGUCUCCACAGUAACAGUCUUAAGCAAGGAGAAGAUCUUUUGUGAGUAUUGUAUGUAUUUUAGUGGCAUUUUUUUUGUAAAUUAACUUAAGAAACGAGAAAUAUAUUGGUGGUAUUUUCAGAUAAAAAUAAAAAUAAAAAUAAAGAAUACCCAAAAUUACGUACUUAUAAUGUUUCAAGAAAAUUUCCUAAAUUUAAGGUCCAUUCUUAUAAUUUUAGGAGUUGAAUAUAUUCCAAGAUUUUCUAUUCUGAGGUAGAGUCAUAAUGAAAUUAUAAUUUUAAAUGUAUUGAUUUCACGUAAAGUAACGUAAGUUUUUGAUUUCUAUCUUAAUUUUGAAACGAUCUAUAUCGCAGAAUACCACCAACUAUCACGAUAAUCUAUUGUGAUUAACAUAAUAUUUAUUUGCAUUUGCGUCUGUUGUAAUAUAAUAGUACUUUACAAAAUAAACUUAAUAUUACUUUUUAUAAUAAUAAAAAAAUAUCUGUAUUUGUAACAAAUAAUAAUUUGUAAUAAUGAUAAUUUAU